UACGGGGGGGGGCAAGCGUUGUUCGGAAUUACUGGGCGUAAAGCGCACGUAGGCGGCUUUGUAAGUAAGAGGUGAAAGCCUGGAGCUCAACUCCAGAAUUGCCUUUUAGACUGCAUCGCUUGAAUCAUGGAGAGGUGAGUGGAAUUCCGAGUGUAGAGGUGAAAUUCGUAGAUAUUCGGAAGAACACCAGUGGCGAAGGCGGCUCACUGGACAUGUAUUGACGCUGAGGUGCGAAAGCGUGGGGAGCAAACAGG
rnacentral:rRNA from 1 species